GGGGUAUUAGCGCAGUUGGGAGCGCGUCACACUGGCAGUGUGAAGGUCACGGGUUCAAGUCCCGUAUACUCCA
rnacentral:tRNA from 1 species